GUGCUCGCUUCAGCAGCACAUAUACUAAAACUGGAACAAUACAGAGAAGAUUAGCAUGACCUCUAGGCAAAGAUGAUACACAAAUUCAUGAAGCAUUCCAUAUUUUU
rnacentral:snRNA from 1 species